GGUUUCGUAGUGUAGCCGGUUAUCACGUCAGUCUAACACACUGAAGAUCUCCAGUUCGAAUCUGGACGAAAUCA
rnacentral:tRNA from 1 species